rnacentral:rRNA from 1 species
AUUGAACGCUGGCGGCAGGCUUAACACAUGCAAGUCGAGCGGUAACAGAGAGAAGCUUGCUUCUCUGCUGACGAGCGGCGGACGGGUGAGUAAUGCCUGGGAAUCUGCCUAGUAGUGGGGGAUAACUUGCCGAAAGGGUAGCUAAUACCGCAUACGUCCGACGGGAGAAAGGAGGGGACCUUCGGGCCUUUCGCCAUUGGAUUAGCCCAGGUCGGAUUAGUUAGUUGGUGAGGUAAAGGCUCACCAAGACCGCGAUCCGUAGCUGGGCUGAGAGGAUGAGCAGUCACACUGGAACUGAGACACGGUCCAGACUCCUACGGGAGGCAGCAAUGGGGAAUAUUGGACAAUGGGGGGAACCCUGAUCCAGCCAUGCCGCGUGUGUGAAGAAGGUCUUAGGAUUGUAAAGCACUUUAAGUUGGGAGGAAGAGCAGUUAACUAAUAUUUGACUGUUUUGACGUUACCGACAGAAUAAGCACCGGCUAACUUCGUGCCAGCCGCCGCCGUAA